CCCUGAGAGGGGGAUCCCCCACACUGGUACUGAGACACGGACCAGACUCCUACGGGAGGCAGCAGUGAGGAAUAUUGGACAAUGGACGAAAGUCUGAUCCAGCUAUGCCGCGUGCAGGAUGACAGCCCUACGGGUUGUAAACUGCUUUUAUACAGGAAGAAAAAUCCCGACGUGUCGGGGCUUGACGGUACUGUAAGAAUAAGGAUCGGCUAACUCCGUGCCAGCAGCCGCGGUAAUACGGAGGAUCCAAGCGUUAUCCGGAAUUAUUGGGUUUAAAGGGUCCGCAGGCGGUUUUUUAAGUCAGAGGUGAAAUCCUACAGCUCAACUGUAGAAUUGCCUUUGAAACUGAAAGACUUGAGUUAUUGUGAAGUGGUUAGAAUGUGUGGUGUAGCGGUGAAAUGCAUAGAUAUCACACAGAAUACCAAUUGCGAAGGCAGAUCACUAACAAUUAACUGACGCUCAGGGACGAAAGCGUGGGUAGCGAACAGGAUUAGAUACCCUGGUAGUCCACGCCGUAAACGAUGGAUACUAGCUGUAUGUCUACCUCAGGUAGAUGUGUGGCCAAGCGAAAGUGAUAAGUAUCCCACCUGGGGAGUACGAUCGCAAGAUUGAAACUCAAAGGAAUUGACGGGGGCCCGCACAAGCGGUGGAGCAUGUGGUUUAAUUCGAUGAUACGCGAGGAACCUUACCAGGGCUUAAAUGUAACGGGACAGGUCUAGAGAUAGACCCUUCUUCGGACUCAUUACAAGGUGCUGCAUGGUUGUCGUCAGCUCGUGCCGUGAGGUGUCAGGUUAAGUCCUAUAACGAGCGCAACCCCCAUCGUUAGUUGCCAACGAGUAAUGUCGGGAACUCUAACGAAACUGCCGGUGCAAACCGUGAGGAAGGUGGGGAUGACGUCAAAUCAUCACGGCCCUUACGUCCUGGGCUACACACGUGCUACAAU
rnacentral:rRNA from 1 species